CCACUUGUUGUUGAUUCUUCACAAAAAAAUACAGUUUUAUAUCUUUAUGUUUGAAGCCUGAAAUGUGGAAAAAGGUCGCAAAGUUCAAGGGGGCCGAAUACUUUCGCAAGGCACUGUAUAUAUAUAUUUACAUGUACUUAUUUUAAGAAUGUUACUAAUAACAACAGAUAAAACACAUUUUUUUCAAGGGAUCUGUGGAUUAAGUUCAGAGGGGACAAUACAUGUAGGCCUAAUAUUAUUAAUCUACAAUUCAGGUUGGUAGCCCUGUCCUGCAGUCAAAUGACUACUGGCCUCAUGGGUGCAAUGAUAUUAAUAUUUUUCAUAAAUAAACCUCGUUUUUUUUAAACAACUGGUUUUGUUAUAUUUCAGUCUUCUGUGAUGUAUAUAAAGUGUAAUAUUGGGUUGCAAACUCAAAAUGCAAUAGAUUUCAACUCUAUAUCUGACAUGGUACAGGUGUCUCCUAUUUAAAAGCCCAUAACCAUGUGUGUGAGGUGUAUACUUUGGUUUCAAAGUAGAUUUGUUUAAGAAUGCCAAGAAACACUCUGUGACCCUGAUUUAGCCCACUGCAGUAAAAGGUUAACCCUGGGCAACAUGGGCAUGGGAGGCUCACAGGGAUAUUGGUAUCCACAGUACUCCACCAAUUAUCAAUUAUUUAUUUUUUACAUAAAUGCACUGCAAUUUUUAAAUAUUUUUUUGUUUAACCUUUAUUUAAGUUGGCAAGUCAGAUAAGAACAAAUUCUUAUUUACAAUGACGGCCUACACCGGCCAAACCCGUGCGGCGAUGGGCUAAUUGUGCGCCGCCCAAUGGGACUCCCAACCACGGCCGGUUGUGAUACAGCCUGGAUUCGAUCCACGGUGUUUGUAGUGACGCCUUAAGCACUAAGAUGCGCUACUCGGGAAAAACUGUACAAUGUGUGUAGAAUUGCAGGAUAUUAGCUUUCAAGUUGGAACAACAAACAAUCUCUCUGCCCCAUGAUAAAAUGCAUAGAACUGCAGGAAAUUAGCUAGAAAACUGCUAAAUGUUCUCUCCGAUGCCAGUAGGUGGACCUUUAAAAUGUUCCAUCACAAGGCCUGAGACUUGGUUCGUCCGGCCAUGUACAACACUGGAGUUGUGUUCUGAUUAUCAGGGGGGUCCCUUACAAAUUUGCUGUCACAAAAGGGUUCCACGGCCCCAAAAAGUUUGAGAACCCGUUAUGCCGAGAUGCAGGCUGAACAGAUAUCAACAUUAUUUUGUCCCCAUGUCAAUAGAUUUUGUAAACAGCAGGGGAAACACAGAGGUUGAUUAGGGGGAUAGCGAUAAUGGACUGGAGACUGGCCUGUAGGACUUACAUCAUGUGGAACCUAAGUCACAGCCUUGCUGGCAUGAACAUGUUUUUGAGUGGGUGUAUGAUGGGGUGUUAUUCUAUGUAUGUUGUGUCAAUUGAUAGUAUGUCUUUAUGUGGAAUCAGCAGCACUCUUUAAUUGUCCAAGUCAAAUUUCCCCUCUGGGACAAUGAAGUAUAUGAAAUGAAAUUAUAUGCAAGAUGAGAGAGCAACCUACAUCUUAGAUGCAAGGGCAUAGUACAAAAUGAUGUGGCUAGUAGCACCAGUGGCUAAUAGCCUGGCAUAAAAGCAUUGCAUUUCAGUCAACAGUAGCAUUGUCUAAUAGCCCCAGUGGCUAAAAAGGCCAACCUGAAGACUAUAGUGAUUCUGAAUGAUGUAAAGGCCUACAUCAUUACAGAAGUUGGUCGAUACGAAACUGAUACAUACACUUUCAGUUGAACAUUGAGAAUAGUUAGACAUCUACUUUGUCAUGUCUUCUCACCAUUUAGCAUUUUCAGUUCAUUUGCUUAAUUCUGUUUCCUGUGUGAUCUGUGAUGGAAAACACCUGUAGCCUAUACUAUACCCUAGUUUAUGCUGUGUGAUCAAUGAAGCAGGUUACUCAUGUUACUAUAUAUUUGAAAGCAAAGCUAUGUAAGGAUAUGGCAUCCGGCUUGGUUUCUCCUGCAUAUUCAUUCAUUCAUACAAAGAAAAGGGAGUGGUCAAAAAACAAGCAAUAGUGUCUAUUCAUUUCAUUGACAAUAGCCUAUAAAAGUGUUCAUUCUUUACAACUUUGUUUGUGACACAAUAUUACAGUGCAUGAUGAAGAGUCAAUUAGUGCAUAAUGUAGCUCUUUCUUUUACACAUGACGUGAUCUUCAAUAUACAACAAAUAGCCUACACGAUAUAGGUAAUGCCAUGUAUACAGAUUAGUACAUUUUUGUCAUUUAGCAGACGCUCCCAUCCAGAACGAUUUAGCGUUUGCUAAAUUAAGUAACUUGCUCAAGGGCACAGACAGAUUUUUCCCCCUAGUCUGCUCGGGGAUUCAAACCUGCGAUCUUUCAGUUACUGCCCCAACGCUCUACCUGCUGCCCUACCAAGUAUUAGUGUAGUAUAGAGUGGAUAUAACUACAUAGUAAUAGCUGUCAAUAUGACCUAAUACUUUAGUAAUAGCCGUCUAUAAACAUCAACUAGGGUGUUCUAAAAAUGUGAAAAACAAAUUAAACAACUCAUCAAAUCCGUAGUGACCUGUAUAAAUCAAACCCCACUGCGCACAGACGUCAGUUCGACGUCUAGUUCUAAAUUGCACAAUUCAACAAAAAAAUAUCACCAUAUCAUUGGAUUCAGGUUAAAAAAGAGACAGAGUGCCCGCCCAUACGUUAAUGACUUUUUACAAAUCCAAUCCACGCUCAUUCAACGUCAUCACAUAGAUUUUUCAGGGGUUGAAAUGACGUGGAACCAGCGCUGAUUCAGCCAGUUUCUGCCCAAUGGGAGUGGGACACCAACUAGUGAAACUGAAAGCGAACCAUGAUGAAAGGCUCAAUAAUGUUUUGUAAAAAUCAGUGUACACAUUGUACAGUGCAAGCAGUCAUUUACAAACAAAAACAUAACAUAAGCCAAGCCUGUUCGUGUUAAUUCUACUCCACAUGACGUCCUCAUCAUGGUCCAAUGCGUUUGGUACUCCCUGAACCUCUCGAAUGGGUUGAAGACAUCCGUAUGUCAGUACUGCUGUCCAACUGUAAAUACUCUGCAGGAUCCGCGUCUUGGACAUACAUGAGACCACCAAAUGAAUCCACCAUUCCCAUCAGCGCGGCGAGGACAGUGAACGCUGUCCCGAUAAAAAACAUCUUCAAGACGUCUGUCACCAUAGCUUCUCCAGUGAAAUGGACGUGGUCUUGUGUUGAACAACCGCAGCGUCACCUUC
ensembl:lncRNA